AAGUCGUAACAAGGUUUCCGUAGGUGAACCUGCGGAAGGAUCAUUACUAGAGCAAAGGAUAGACGGCGCCCGCGGAGCUCGCUCCCGGGGCUACCCUACUCCCGUAGGGUUUAGAGUCGUCGGGCCUCUCGGAGAAGCUCGGUCCUGAACUCCACCCUUGAAUAAACUACCUUUGUUGCUUUGGCGGGCCGCCUCGUGCCAGCGGCUUCGGCUGUUGAGUGCCCGCCAGAGGACCCCAACUCUUGUUUUUAGUGAUGUCUGAGUACUAUAUAAUAGUUAAAACUUUCAACAACGGAUCUCUUGGUUCUG
rnacentral:misc_RNA from 1 species